rnacentral:lncRNA from 1 species
AGACUUUCUGUGCUAGACAAUUGCUUCCUGAUUGGACUAUGGCUCACCAUCAUGCCUGGGGCCCUGUCUUGAAUCCUAGCCAGUUGGGCUAGGGUCUUGUUUACCUCCUGGGCAUUCUCCCAUUGUGGGCUGUGCCAUACAUCCCCCCAGGCAAUGAUUUAUGAUUUGCUUCAAUUGGCAUAGUCUAAGAUGAUCCUUGCUCUUAGAAGAGUAUCUGGGACUCCAGCGGCUGUGACCAGACAUGCAG